rnacentral:lncRNA from 1 species
ACAGUCCACAGGAAGAGGUUGAACUAAAGAAGUUGAAACAUUUGGAGAAGUCUGUGGAGAAGAUAGCUGACCAGCUGGAAGAGUUGAAUAAAGAGCUUACUGGAAUCCAGCAGAGAUGGGGUUUCACCAUGUUGGCCAGACUGGUCUCAAACUCCUGACCUCAAGUGAUCUGCCCGCCUCGGCCUCCCAAAGUGCUGGGAUUACAGGCAUGAGCCACUGCGCCCGGCCUAUAUGUUUGUGUUUUAAUUACAGAAUACAUGCUGACUGUACAAAAGUUUUAAGUACAUGUAUAGGCACUAAUAUGGAAAAUAAAAAUUACCCAUGGGGCACCAACUCAGAGAUGACGAUUACCAAAGCCUGAAAUAUAUUUUUCAUCUUAAAAAAAUUUGAUAUAAUGUUAUUUACACUUUAUAAACUAUUCUUUUAUUGGAUAAAAAAUUAAACAUUUUCCUGUGAUGGUAUUUUUCAAAGCUCGCAUGCAUUUCAUCUUGUAUAAAUGUAUUAUUUACCUAGCCAA